rnacentral:rRNA from 1 species
UUGAUGUUCUAACGUUGACCCGUAAUCCGGGUUGCGGACAGUGUCUGGUGGGUAGUUUGACUGGGGCGGUCUCCUCCUAAAGAGUAACGGAGGAGCACGAAGGUUGGCUAAUCCUGGUCGGACAUCAGGAGGUUAGUGCAAUGGCAUAAGCCAGCUUGACUGCGAGCGUGACGGCGCGAGCAGGUGCGAAAGCAGGUCAUAGUGAUCCGGUGGUUCUGAAUGGAAGGGCCAUCGCUCAACGGAUAAAAGGUACUCCGGGGAUAACAGGCUGAUACCGCCCAAGAGUUCAUAUCGACGGCGGUGUUUGGCACCUCGAUGUCGGCUCAUCACAUCCUGGGGCUGAAGUAGGUCCCAAGGGUAUGGCUGUUCGCCAUUUAAAGUGGUACGCGAGCUGGGUUUAGAACGUCGUGAGACAGUUCGGUCCCUAUCUGCCGUGGGCGCUGGAGAACUGAGGGGGGCUGCUCCUAGUACGAGAGGACCGGAGUGGACGCAUCACUGGUGUUCGGGUUGUCAUGCCAAUGGCACUGCCCGGUAGCUAAAUGCGGAAGAGAUAAGUGCUGAAAGCAUCUAAGCACGAAACUUGCCCCGAGAUGAGUUCUCCCUGACUCCUUGAGAGUCCUGAAGGAACGUUGAAGACGA